AUACCGAGGGUGCCAGCGUUAUUCGGAAUUACUGGGCGUAAAGCGCGUGCAGGUGGAGUAUCAAGUCAGAUGUGAAAUCCCGGGGCUUAACUUCGGAAUUGCAUUUGAAACUGGUAUUCUUGAGUCCGUGAGAGGGAAGUGGAAUUCCAGGAGUAGAGGUGAAAUUCGUAGAUAUCUGGAGGAACACCGGAGGCGAAGGCGGCUUCCUGGCCCGGCACUGACACUGAGACGCGAAAGCGUGGGGAGCAAACAGAAUUAGAUACCCGAGUAGUCC
rnacentral:rRNA from 1 species